AGCAGCCGCGGUAAUUCCAGCUCCAAUAGCGUAUAUUAAAGUUGUUGCAGUUAAAAAGCUCGUAGUUGAAUUUCGGGAUCGACAGGUUGGUCGCGCCUUCGGUGUGUACUGGUCUAGUCGGUUUCUCCCUUCUGACGAACCACGAUGUCAUUAAUUUGGUGUCGUGGGAAAUCAGGACUGUUACUUUGAAAAAAUUAGAGUGUUUAAAGCAGGCAUUAGCUUGAAUACAUUAGCAUGGAAUAAUGAAAUAGGACGUUUGAUCCUAUUUUGUUGGUUUCUAGGAUCGACGUAAUGAUUAAUAGGGAUAGUUGGGGGCAUUAGUAUUCAAUUGUCAGAGGUGAAAUUCUUGGAUUUAUUGAAGACUAACUACUGCGAAAGCAUUUGCCAAGGAUGUUUUCAUUAAUCAAGAACGAAAGUUAGGGGAUCGAAGACGAUCAGAUACCGUCGUAG
rnacentral:rRNA from 1 species